GACGAACGCUGGCGGCGUGCCUAACACAUGCAAGCCUGACGGGAAAGUCUCCUUCGGGAGACCGGUACAGUGGCGGACGGGUGAGUAACGCGUGGGAAUCUACCCGGUAGUGGGGAAUAACCCCCCGAAAGGGGAGCUAAUACCGCAUAAGCCCCAAGGGGUAAAGAUGGCCUCUUUCUAAUGCUAUCGCUUCCGGAUGAGCCCGCGUCCUAUUAGCUAGUUGGUGAGGUAAUGGCUUACCAAGGCUACGAUGGGUAGCCGGUCUGAGAGGAUGAACGGCCACACUGGGACUGAGACACGGCCCAGACUCCUACGGGAGGCAGCAGUGGGGAAUUUGCGCAAUGGGGGAAACCCUGACGCAGCAACGCCGCGUGGAUGACGAAGGCCUUCGGGUCGUAAAGUCCUGUUCUGGGGAAAGAAUAAGUAAAGGGCCAAUACCCCUUUACCCUGACGGUACCCCAGCCAGAAAGCUCCGGCCAAUUAUGUG
rnacentral:rRNA from 1 species